rnacentral:tRNA from 1 species
UGUAGCUCAGUGGUUGGGCGCUUGCCUAUCAUGCAUGAAGCACUGGGUUCGACCCUCAGCA